GAUGAAGAACGUAGCGAAAUGCGAUAAGUAAUGUGAAUUGCAGAAUUCAGUGAAUCAUCGAAUCUUUGAACGCACCUUGCGCCCUUUGGCUAUUCUGAAGGGCAUGCCUGUUUGAGUAUCAUGAACACCUCAACUCUCAUGGUUUGCCAUGAUGAGCUUGGACUUUGGGGGUCUUGCUGGCCUACGGUCGGCUCCUCUCAAAUGAAUCAGCUUGCCAGUGUUUGGUGGCAUCACGGGUGUGAUAACUAUCUACGCUUGUGGUUUCCCGCCAGGUAACCUUCAGUGAUGGAGGUUCGCUGGGGCUCAUAAAUGUCCCUCCACAGUGAGGACAGCUUUUGAACGUUUGAUCUCAAAUCAGGUAGGACUACCCGCUGAACUUAAGCAUAUCAAUAAGCGGAGGA
rnacentral:misc_RNA from 1 species